rnacentral:rRNA from 1 species
UACGUAGGGAGCAAGCGUUGUCCGGAAUCAUUGGGCGUAAAGCGCGCGUAGGCGGCCCUGUAAGUCCGUUGUGAAAGUCAAAGGCUCAACCUUUGAAAGCCGAUGGAUACUGCAGGGCUAGAGUCCGGAAGAGGCGAGUGGAAUUCCUGGUGUAGCGGUGGAAUGCGCAGAUAUCAGGAGGAACACCAAUAGCGAGGGCAGCUCGCUGGGACGGUACUGACGCUAAGGCGCGAAAGCGUGGGGAGCGAACAGG